rnacentral:lncRNA from 1 species
AGGGAAAACAUGCAAAAUAGAGAUUUUCCAAAUCCUGCAACUGGACCUAACAUGAGUGCACCAGCUCCAGGUGGUAUGCCUCCCAACAACUUUAAUCCCAGCAUGCCUCCUCACAACCGCCAAGGCGAUUAUCCAGGAGGACCACCACCUCCGAACAAUUUUAACAGACCACCACCGCCACCACCGCACAACUACAGCGGACCACCACCACCACCACCACACAACUUCAGCGGACCACCACCACCACCACCACACAACUUCAGCGGACCACCACCACCACCACCGCACAACUUCAACGGACCACCACCACCACCACCGCACAACUUCAACGGACCACCACCACCACCGUACAACUUCAACGGGCCACCACCUCCUCCACCAAACAACUUCAACGGACCACCACCUCCUCCACCGAACAACUUCAACGGACCACCACCACGCAACUAUGCUUCAGCAUCACCAAAUCACGGAGGAGGAGGAGGAGGAGCACCCCACAACUAUGGGGGGCCACAGGAAAACAACUAUUGGGGAGCACAGCAGCCAAACAACUAUGGUGGACCUUCAAACUCUGGCCGGGGACCUGCAUAGAACAACUACUAUGAAGGGGUAAAAAAAGGCUAAUGGUGGUGGAUGGUCUAAUAUGUGCAUAAAAAUCAAGAAGAAUAGUCUAGGCGGUCAGGGUAGUCUAACGGUGGUGGCUGGUCACUGCAUUUUCGUUUUGGUGCUACAAACGAUGAGUUUAAUUUUGCUUUAUGAGUCGGCAUUUGUUUAAAAUCUGUUUAAGUCUUGUGUACAAUUUAAUAUAUUCAUGAGAUGGUGUAUCGUUUAUAAUGUUGUCUUUGUUCUGAAGUUGGCAAUGAUAUUGUCUCUUUUGGCCAUAUCUCUUUUAAGCUUGCAACAUACAUGUGUAUUUAAUGUAUGUGUAGUUAAAAUAAAGUCAGAGAUGUAAAAUUAUUUAAUAAUUUUAAAAUGGAUCAAAAUUAUAAGUAAAUUCAUACCAAGAGAAAGGAAGGAAAGACAAAAGAAAAAUAGAUCCUCCUUAUAUUUAUGAAAAUUUAUAUUAGGAAUGAAUUUAAUUUUACGUUUUAAAAAUAUAAUAAUAAAUAUUUAAUUAUUAUAUUAGCAAAAGCAAAUCUUUAAACCCUUAAACCCUUUCAAAACCCUUUUUCUUUUUUCAUUUUUUGUCUUUUUUGUUUCAACCUUCUCCCAUGGCGACUCAGCUCUUCUCUUUGUUUUCACGUUCCUUUCUCACUCCACCGGAGUCCCCCAUCUCCGUCUCUUCUCACUCCUCUUCCUCCCUUCUCCGCCGCCUCCCUCCCCUCGCUGCUAUACUCACCGCUGAUUUCCCGUCACUCUGCUGCACCGAGCGUGAGGAACUUCUCUACCCGUUCCACUUCUUCGUCUAUCAAAGAUCCCAAUCCUAACUGGUCUAAUCGACCACUCAUGGAGACCAUAUUGCUUGAUGGCUGUGAUUUUGAACACUGGCUCGUUGUCAUGGAGAACAACUCACGAGGGAUGAGAUUAUCGACAGCUAUAUAAAAACGCUUGCCAUUGUUGUCUGAAGGUAAAUUCUCAUUUUCGUAUAUUGUAUUGAAUCUCUCUCUCUCUCUUUCCUCCCAACGUUGGGCUAUCCUGAAUCUGAUGAUUGCAUUUAUUCGUGUCUCUUCUGUGUCUUUUUUUCUUCGUUGUGUUGUUCUUGGCUAUGUCUUUGUUUUGUAUUGAUGAUAUGAAGCUGUACCUUUUCCUCUUCAGAGCUGCCUAAGGUUCGUUGGGUCUUACCUGAUUCAUACUUGGACGUUAAGAAUAAAGAUUACGGAGGUUAUUCCUGACCCCAUUAAGUAUGCAAAUAAUCAUUUUAUCUCUUUCGGUGUCUAAUUUUACAGUCCUCACUCUUUAGUUUUGAAAAGAGGUCAGUCGUUCUGAAGAAGGCUUUAUUUCAAUUUAAAGCUACUAGAAGUUAAAAUUUUCAUAAUAUCAUAUGUCUUGUUCAUUAUACAUUUUUCUCAGAAAAGAAGUUUGAAAUACGUCAUUCAAAGAUAGUAAGUAGCUUUUCUCUUUACAAAAAUGUAGACUAUUGAGGGGAUAGAAUGUUAGCUACUUACUUGAAAAGUUGAAGCUCUUGUAUUGUAUGAUGGUUGAGGAUCCUGACUCAUUCAGGUCACAUUCCUAAGAUGAUAGAAAGUUUAAAAACUUAUCUAAGAUUGCAAUGCACUCUUGAGCAGACUGUCAAUGCACUCUUAAUUUGAAAGCCAGUAUCUUUUUGUUGUAGUGUCUCCCUUGUUUUGGUUCACUUAAGGCUACAACUAUUUUACCUUAUUUUGGUGUUGUACAGAACUGUUAUCUGACUUUCCGUGUAUUUUUUCCCUUUGGCAGGGGGGCCUUUUAUAAACGGACAAGCUGCUCCAUAUGACUCGAAGUACCACGAAGAAUGGAUUAGAAACAAUGCUAAAGCAAAUAGUAGGCGUGAUGUUAAUGGUAGGCGCAAUUUCGAUAGGUCAAGAAACUUUGAGAAGAGGGAAAACAUGCAGAAUGGAGAAUUUCCAAAUAAUGUUUCAGCGAGUCAACCUACUGGACCGAAAUUGAGUCCACCAGCUCCAAGUAGUACACCCCUCCCAACAACUUUAGUCCUAGCAUGCCUCCUCACAACCAUGCUGGAAUACCCCAAGGCAACUAUCCGGGAGGAUAUCCGAACAAUUUUAACAGACCACUGCCUCCGCCACCACCAUACAACUUCAACAGCCCACCACCACCUCCUCACAACUUUAACAGGCCACCACCGCAAAACAACUUUAACGGACCACCACCACCAUCAAACCCUGGGGGAGCACCGCCAAAGCAACUAUUGGGGUGCACCACAGCCAAACUUCAGCAGGCCGCCUGCACAGAACAACUGUGGAGGGAUGCAACCUAACGCUGGUGGAUGGUCUAAUAAUG